rnacentral:rRNA from 1 species
UACGAAGGGGGCUAGCGUUGCUCGGAAUCACUGGGCGUAAAGGGUGCGUAGGCGGGUUUUUAAGUCAGGGGUGAAAUCCUGGAGCUCAACUCCAGAACUGCCUUUGAUACUGAAGAUCUUGAGUCCGGGAGAGGUGAGUGGAACUGCGAGUGUAGAGGUGAAAUUCGUAGAUAUUGGGAAGAACACCCGUAGCGAAGGCGGCACUCUGGGCCGUGACUGACGCCGAGGAGCGAAAGCGUGGGGAGCAAACAGG